UACGUAGGGUGCAAGCGUUAAUCGGAAUUACUGGGCGUAAAGCGUGCGCAGGCGGUUUUGUAAGUCUGUCGUGAAAUCCCCGGGCUCAACCUGGGAAUUGCGAUGGAGACUGCAAGGCUAGAAUCUGGCAGAGGGGGGUAGAAUUCCACGUGUAGCAGUGAAAUGCGUAGAGAUGUGGAGGAACACCGAUGGCGAAGGCAGCCCCCUGGGUCAAGAUUGACGCUCAUACACGAAAGCGUGGGGAGCAAACAGG
rnacentral:rRNA from 1 species